CUGCAAAGUGUUUGCCUUCUAUAUCUGCAAUGGAAACCCCACCUGCUGUCUUCUUGAUGUUUUUGUUCCUUGUCUUUAAGACCUGGUCUCAAAUUCAGAAGUUCAAUACCAGCGUCAGUUUGACUUGACACAAUCUAUGGUUGUAGUGUAUUGAUUUCACAAAUUGAGCCUAUGAAAUGAAACUCUGUCAUCAAGAAGCUAUUGGACACCUAUAUGGACAUGCAUUUACCUCUCUGCCCAGUGCAAUUAUUUAUAAAUGUCUGUGGAAGAAUAGAGAGAGGAGGGAGGAAAGGAAGGGUAGAUUAUUCUGUAUCUUUCAGGAAGAGAGAGACAAGAAAAGAGAAAAUAUGAAAAACACCAGAGC